CCCGGCCCUUCCGGCCGCUGCGGUAGGACAUGGAAUAUUCGCUUGCCCGGAGAUGGUCGCGGUCGAUUACUCCGGAGACACGCGUCU
rnacentral:sRNA from 1 species